AGCUACGGCCAUACAAUGCUGAAAAUACCGGAUCCCGUCCGAUCUCCGCAGUCAAGCAGCAUCUGGACCAGUCAGUACUAUGGUGGGGGAGGACCACAUGGGAAUACUGGUUGCUGUUUUCU
rnacentral:rRNA from 1 species